UCUCUCAUCGUAUAACGGUAAAAUUACAUACACGGAAAUAUAGCUUCGGUGGAUUCCCAUGCUGUUUCUGUGUAGGAUCUGGGUUCGAAUCCCAGUGAGAGUG